CGCAGCGACUGCGGAGGACAUUAUCGAGUUUUGAAAGUGGGCUUUGAUGCUGGCGCCUUUGCGGUGCAUGUGCUCGGGCCCCGCUCAUCCACUCAACCCCUGUGCACUUUUUCGAAGUUUGUUUGUCGGUCCCCCCUGUAACAGGGGAGAAGUUGAAGAGAGAUCUUUAGCCGGGGUCGUCGACGUUCUUCGUUCAUUAACAAACCACUAUUAUUGUCUUGUAGAAUGUAAAGCCUCUUUGUUGGGCGAAACUUAAUACAACUUUCAACAACGGAUCUCUUGGCUCUCGCAUCGAUGAAGAACGCAGCGAAAUGCGAUAAGUAAUGUGAAUUGCAGAAUUCAGUGAAUCAUCGAAUCUUUGAACGCACCUUGCGCUCCUUGGUAUUCCGAGGAGCAUGCCUGUUUGAGUGUCAUGUUAAUAUCAAUCUCUUCGCCUUUUGUGGGUGUUGAGUUUGGAGUUGGAGGCUUUGCUGGCUUUGCGGUCGGCUCCUCUAGAAUGUAUUAGCUGGGCUUUCGCUCGAUGCAACGGUGUGAUAGUAUUAUUCGCCGGAGUAACUUGCGAUAUGGGUCUGCUUCUAAUCGUCUUCGGACAAAUAUGGGGUGUUUACACGCUCCUUUGACUUUUGACCUCAAAUCAGGUAGGACUACCCGCUGAACUUAAGCAUAUCAUAA
rnacentral:rRNA from 1 species